CAGCAGUAGGGAAUCUUCCACAAUGGACGCAAGUCUGAUGGAGCAACGCCGCGUGAGUGAUGAAGGCUUUCGGGUCGUAAAACUCUGUUGUUGGAGAAGAACGUGUGUGAGAGUAACUGCUCAUGCAGUGACGGUAUCCAACCAGAAAGCCACGGCUAACUACGUGCCAGCAGCCGCGGUAAUACGUAGGUGGCAAGCGUUAUCCGGAUUUAUUGGGCGUAAAGCGAGCGCAGGCGGUCUUUUAAGUCUAAUGUGAAAGCCUUCGGCUUAACCGAAGAAGUGCAUUGGAAACUGAGAGACUUGAGUGCAGAAGAGGAGAGUGGAACUCCAUGUGUAGCGGUGAAAUGCGUAGAUAUAUGGAAGAACACCAGUGGCGAAGGCGGCUCUCUGGUCUGCAACUGACGCUGAGGCUCGAAAGCAUGGGUAGCGAACAGGAUUAGA
rnacentral:rRNA from 1 species